UCUCCAGAAGAUUGAACGCAGAGAGUUCGAAGAAGAGAGCGCUUGAGUUGAGACGAGGGACGACAUAGACUUCGUCAAAUGAAGGGAUUUAGGUUUCCUAAUCUGAAGGAAUGAUUGAGUUGAACAGACUAGAAGAAACCUUAAUUCUUUCUUUUUGGUAUAAAGAAAACCUUUAUUCUAUUCUACUAACAACACUUUUAUUCAAAAAAAAAUAAUCUAACAACACUUGAUUUUUAUUUUUUUUGGUACAUUGAUUUACUACUACUAACAAUUAUUUUAUUUUUUUGUUUAAAAAAAAAACAAUUAUUUUUUUUGACAGGAAACUAUUAUUUUUAUUUUAUUUUUUAAAAGAAUCUAAUAAUUAGGCGCCAAUAUUCCCCCUUAUUUUUUUCACUAAAUUUUGAAAUAAAAUAAAAAUUGUCUUAAAUAUGAGACGGAAAUAAAACCAUCCGUCCCAACUUUGUGGCAGAAAUGUCAAUCCGUCUCGAAUUGGAGACAGAAUAUAAAUUCCGUCCCGAACUAUUAAAAAGUUUUUAAAAAAAUACUCGUGACAGAAAAUCGUCGCAAAUUUCGUCCCGAUUUAAUUAUUUUGGGACGGAAAAAAUUUCCGUCACAAAAUUCCGUCUUAAUUGAAUUAUUUUCUAGUAGUGAU
rnacentral:lncRNA from 1 species